GAGUAUCUCAUAUAUUAAAACACAAUGUGCUAGUGUUAAUUCUUGCCUAUGGGACGUAACUUGUUGUUUGAAAUCCCUUGGCCUAAUUUAUUUUUUUGGGGAAAAUUUUGGAAUUUUAUUGAUUAAAUAAAAAACUUACAGUAUAUUAGGCCCAACACCCUUAUUAAUCCACACAUAAAAUAAAAAAACAAACCUAAGAUAAAAAGUAGCCCAACUCAAUGACCCAAGUCCGCUACAUCUACAUAUACUAUAGGGUUUCCUAAUCCAAACUAUACUUUCCAUUUCCUAACCCUUACAUCUGUAUCGAUGUUGUCGCCACAUGCUAACUCCACAUUCAUUACUCUUCUUCUUAGGGUGAUCAACAUUCUUGGUUUAAACCUACCAUUUCAUGCUUUAUCAGCUAUCAAGAGUUAUUUUUUCCUUUUCUUUCUUGUUUUUUAUUUCACUGUUUCUUUGUUUGAUCUUUCUUUUUCCCAGCUGAGCUUUUUGAUAGAUGGUGUAAGACUGCAACACUUUAUAGGAUCAAGUCUCCUGGUGAAUAUGGAAUGAAGUUCAAGCACUUUCUCUAAGAUUGAUUCAACCUAGGAUCCUUCCAUUUUGUUGGGCACUUUUUGUUGGUUGAAUUAAAUAGGCUAGAUAGUAUUUCACCUUUUUUACUGACUAUUAUGCUCUUGUAAAUAUGCUUUGUGAAAAACUGUAUGUUAAGCC